UUGACCGAGACUAGCGACUUGUGCGCUAACUUUUGACUUGACCUCAAAUCAGGUAGGACUACCCGCUGAACUUAAGCAUAUCAAUAAGCGGAGGAAAAGAAACUAAACAAGGAUUCCCCCUAGUAACUGCGAGUGAAGCGGGAAAAGCUCAAAUUUAAAAUCUGGCGGUCUCCGGCCGUCCGAGUUGUAAUUUAGAGAAGCGUUAUCCGUGCUGGACCGUGUAUAAGUCUCCUGGAAUGGAGCGUCAUAGAGGGUGAGAAUCCCGUCUUUGACACGGACUACCAGUGCAUUGUGAUGCGCUCUCGACGAGUCGAGUUGUUUGGGAAUGCAGCUCAAAAUGGGUGGUAAAUGCCAUCUAAAGCUAAAUAUUGGCGAGAGACCGAUAGCGAACAAGUACCGUGAGGGAAAGAUGAAAAGAACUUUGGAAAGAGAGUUAAACAGUACGUGAAAUUGUCGAAAGGGAAACGGUUGCAGUCAGUCGCGUCCGCCGGGGAUCAACCUUGCUUUUGCUUGGCGUAUUUCCCGGUGGAUGGGUCAGCAUCAGUUUUGACCGCAGUUGAAAGGCUGGAGGAAUGUGGCACCUUCGGGUGUGUUAUAGCCUCCUGUCAUAUGCUGCGGUUGGGACUGAGGAACUCAGCACGCCGCAAGGCCGGGAUUCGUCCACGUUCGUGCUUAGGAUGCUGGCAUAAUGUCUGUAACCGACCCGUCUUGAAACACGGACCAAGGAGUCUAACAUGCACGCGAGUGUUUGGGUGGCAAACCCGAGCGCGUAAUGAAAGUGAAAGUUGAGACCUCUGUCGUGGAGGGCAUCGACGCCCGGACCAGAACUUUUGGGACGGA
rnacentral:rRNA from 1 species